rnacentral:rRNA from 1 species
GACGAACGCUGGCGGCGUGCUUAACACAUGCCAGUCGAACGGUCAAAGAAGAGCUUGCUCUUCUGGAUCAGUGGCGAACGGGUGAGUAACACGUGAGUAACCUGCCCCAGACUCUGGAAUAAGCGCUGGAAACGGCGUCUAAUACCGGAUACGAGACAUAGCUGCAUGGCUACUGUCUGGAAAGUUCUUCUGUCUGGGAUGGACUCGCGGCCUAUCAGCUUGUUGGGGAGGUAACGGCUCACCAAGGCAACGACGGGUAGCCGGCCUGGGAGGGCGACCAGGCACCAUGGGACUGAGACACGGACCAGACUCGUACGGGACGCAGCAGUGGGAAAUAUUGCACAGUGGGCGAAAGCCUGAUGCAGCGACGCCGCGUGAGGGAUGACGGCCUUCGGGUUGUAAACCACUUUCAGCAGGGAAGAAGCGAAAGUGACGGUACCUGCAGAAGAAGCCCCGGCUAACUACGUG